rnacentral:rRNA from 1 species
UUACGUAGGUGGCAAGCGUUGUCCGGAAUUAUUUGGGCGUAAAGCGCGCGCAGGCGGUCCUUUUAAGUCUGAUGUGAAAGCCCACGGCUCAACCGUGGAGGGUCAUUGGAAACUGGGACUUGAGUACAGAAGAGAAGAGUGGAAUUCCACGUGUAGCGGUGAAAUGCGUAGAGAUGUGGAGGAACACCAGUGGCGAAGGCGACUCUUUUUGGUCUGUAACUGACGCUGAGGCGCGAAAGCGUGGGGAGCAAACAGG